rnacentral:lncRNA from 1 species
GAGCCCUUCCCUGACGUGGGGACCUACGAGGACUUCCACACCAUAGACUGGCUGAGGGAAAAGUCCCGGGAUACCGACAGACAUAGGAAGGUGGGCGAUCCUGUGCUGAAGAGGUCCUUGCCCAUCGUUCCACAAAGCUUCCAUCUCUUGGUUGGGAUGUGAGCCUGAGGCCGUGUGUCGCAUGUCGGUUCCACAGAGAGAAAGAACUAGUGAGAAAGCAGAGAAAAAGACUGAGAGUGACAAUGGCAGAUACCUGGGGUAGAAAUACGACCAGUGCCAGCCACAAGGGGACCCUGGAGCCAGAAACAUUCAGACUCCAUCUUGACCCAGAUACCUUGAUGGGACUGGAGUCUGGAGCUGUCAUUUUUUGGGCCUCAUUUUCUUAUCCUUGAGGAUGGAGGUGAUGACAUUGAAGAUCGGGGUCGGGGAGCAACUCGCUAUGUCGUCAUGCAUCCACUUGGCAUUCAGUACACUGGAAUGGUACAAAAUGCAGUUAUAUAGUAAAGGCUGUGGGCUCAUUGAAAAGGAAUAAGUACAGAAUGCUUUUUCAGAAAGGGUGUGACUAAGGGUUUGGGCGUCAGAUCAUGGUGCUGCAUCGCUGCAUGAAAAAUGUGACUGGGAAUCUGGUGGCUUCAUUGCAUCCGUCUCCUCAGUCUCGUCGUUUCCUGAGGGAUCUGUCUCAGAGGACGAGGCGUGACCCGGACGAUGCGUUCUGAUCAAUCGCUCUGUGUCCUUCCUUGUCAGAUCACCAGCAAAAGUAAGGAGUCUAUUUGGGAGUUCAUCAAGAGCCUGCUGGACGCGUGGUCGGGAUGGGUGGUGAUGCUACUCAUUGGGCUGCUGGCAGGUAUGUGUGUGGUGCUCCGUGCACCCCCAAACUCCAUACUCGUGGGAAACCACGCAGCUGUGGAAGAGUCUAGGGAGACCUAGAAACUAGUACGAUUUUCUCACGGCUCCGAUGGUGGGACGGGCGCAGAUACCCGACUGCCUGGAUGGGGGCUCCCUUGGUUUCAUUUGGGUUCCUCUCCUAGAGUAAUCACACACGUCCUCUGAAUAACUAAUUUACCAGAGAUUACCACAAGGGCGCACUGUUGCACCACAGACCAAAGCAGAGAUGGCUCACAACACAAAGGGCGUAGGCGAAGGAGAUGGAUUGGACGAAGACUAAUGUGACCGAACACUUGAAAAAUGAUGGGUUUUGGGGACGGUCAUCAGAUCUUGUUUAAAUGUCACUUUUCACUUGAAAUUUGAUCACUUCUCUAAAAGAUACAUCUUCCUCUCCUUGAACCUGUUCCUCAACCAGUUCUGCGAGCAUGUGUGUGUGUGUGUGUGUGCGUGUGUGUGUAAAACAGCUUUGCUGAAUUAUAUUACACAUAUUGAGUGAUUAACCCAUUGAUAGUGUACAGCUAAGUGGGUUUUAGCAUGUUUACAGAGUUGUGUACUUAUCAUCGUGGCCAAUAUUAGAAUGAUUCUAUCAUUCUCACCUUAAUAUUAUCUGUACGUUUAGCUACAGAAGAACCUAAACUACUGUCGGGUUCAGUAGCAACGUCAUGUCAUGGGUGUGUCCUCGGUUUUGAGAAGACCCUGUCACCUCUCCCUGUGACAGUUCUCUGUAAAUUCAUCUGUUUCUCAGGUACCUUGGCUGGAGUCAUCGAUCUCGCUGUGGAUUGGAUGACGGACCUCAAGGAGGGGGUCUGUCUGUCCGCAUUCUGGUACAGCCAUGAACAGUGCUGUUGGACCUCCAACGAGACCACUUUUGAGGACAGGGACAAGUGUCCCCUGUGGCAGAAGUGGUCAGAGCUUCUUCUGAGCCAGUCAGAGGUAUGUCGUCAUCUGUUUUUGCAGGCCUGGGAGGAACCUAUCACAGCUUCGCUUUCUCCGAUGGAGAUGGUGGGCCUGGGGACGCUGUUGAAGUUUGCUAUGGCUCGUCACUUCUUCCUUGUUUUGUGUCUGAUCUCUAGGGCGCCAGCGCUUACAUUCUGAAUUACUUAAUGUACAUUCUAUGGGCGUUGCUGUUUGCAUUUCUGGCUGUCUCCCUGGUACGUGUGUUCGCACCGUAUGCCUGUGGCUCUGGCAUACCCGAGGUAAGCCGUGGGUGAAGUACUGUGCGCCUACUCUUAUCCCCACCAUAAGCCUGGUAGACAAACCCUGUAGGUUCGCUUCAGUCGUUAAGGGAACUAGAAUAUAAACAAGUUAAGUUACUUCACUAAGGACUCAAAGUUGGCAAGCUGUGAGUUGAAUCUAGCAGUAAUUCCAAUGUACACCCCAAAUUGC